GACGAACGCUGGCGGCGUGCUUAACACAUGCAAGUCGAACGGAAAGGCCCUGCUUUUGUGGGGUGCUCGAGUGGCGAACGGGUGAGUAACACGUGAGUAACCUGCCCUUUACUUUGGGAUAACUUCAGGAAACUGGGGCUAAUACCGGAUAGGAGCUCCUGCUGCAUGGUGGGGGUUGGAAAGUUUCGGCGGUUGGGUAUGGACUCGCGGCUUAUCAGCUUGUUGGUGGGGUAGUGGCUUACCAAGGCUUUGACGGGUAGCCGGCCUGAGAGGGUGACCGGCCACAUUGGGACUGAGAUACGGACCAGACUCCUACGGGAGGCAGAAGUGGGGAGUAUUGCACAAUGGGCGGAAGCCUGAUGCAGCAACGCCGCGUGCGGGAUGACGGCCUUCGGGUUGUAAACCGCUUUCGCCUGUGACGAAGCGUGAGUGACGGUAAUGGGUAAAGAAGCACCGGCUAACUACGUG
rnacentral:rRNA from 1 species